UGACGCUGGCGGCGUGCUUAACACAUGCAAGUCGAACGAUGAAACCUAGCUUGCUAGGUGGAUUAGUGGCGCACGGGUGAGUAAUAUAUAGGUAAUGUGCCUCUUAGUCUGGGAUAGCCAUUGGAAACGAUGAUUAAUACUGGAUACUCCUUCUAACUCUAAUGUUAGUCGGGAAAGUUUUUCGCUAAGAGAUCAGCCUAUAUCCCAUCAGUUAGUUGGUAAGGUAACGGCUUACCAAGGCAAUGACGGGUAGCGGGUUUGAGAGGAUGAUCCGCCACACUGGUACUGAGACACGGACCAGACUCCUACGGGAGGCAGCAGUGAGGAAUAUUGCACAAUGGGGGAAACCCUGAUGCAGCAACGCCGCGUGGAGGAUGACGCAUUUCGGUGUGUAAACUCCUUUUAUAUGUCAAGAAAAUGACGGUAGCAUAUGAAUAAGCACCGGCUAACUCCGUGCCAGCAGCCGCGGUAAUACGGAGGGUGCAAGCGUUACUCGGAAUCACUGGGCGUAAAGGACGCGUAGGCGGAUUGGAAAGUCAGAUGUGAAAUCCUACAGCUUAACUGUAGAACUGCAUUUGAAACUUCUAAUCUAGAGUAUGGGAGGGGGAGAUGGAAUUAGUGGUGUAGGGGUAAAAUCCGUAGAUAUCACUAGGAAUACCGAAAGCGAAGGCGAUCUCCUGGAACAUUACUGACGCUAAGGCGUGAAAGCGUGGGGAGCAAACAGGAUUAGAUACCCUGGUAGUCCACGCCCUAAACGAUGAACACUAGUCGUCGGGAUGCUUGUCAUCUCGGUGAUGCACUUAACAGAUUAAGUGUUCCGCCUGGGGAGUAC
rnacentral:rRNA from 1 species